rnacentral:rRNA from 1 species
GGGACACGUGGUAUCCUGUCUGAAUAUGGGGGGACCAUCCUCCAAGGCUAAAUACUCCUGACUGACCGAUAGUGAACCAGUACCGUGAGGGAAAGGCGAAAAGAACCCCGGCGAGGGGAGUGAAAAAGAACCUGAAACCGUGUACGUACAAGCAGUAGGAGCCCACUAGUUGGGUGACUGCGUACCUUUUGUAUAAUGGGUCAGCGACUUAUAUUCUGUAGCAAGGUUAACCGUAUAGGGGAGCCGCAGGGAAACCGAGUCUUAACUGGGCGUUAAGUUGCAGGGUAUAGACCCGAAACCCGGUGAUCUAGCCAUGGGCAGGUUGAAGGUUGGGUAACACUAACUGGAGGACCGAACCGACUAAUGUUGAAAAAUUAGCGGAUGACUUGUGGCUGGGGGUGAAAGGCCAAUCAAACCGGGAGAUAGCUGGUUCUCCCCGAAAGCUAUUUAGGUAGCGCCUCGUGAACUCAUCUUCGGGGGUAGAGCACUGUUUCGGCUAGGGGGUCAUCCCGACUUACCAACCCGAUGCAAACUACGAAUACCGAAGAAUGUUAUCACGGGAGACACACGGCGGGUGCUAACGUCCGUCGUGAAGAGGGAAACAACCCAGACCGCCAGCUAAGGUCCCAAAGUCAUGGUUAAGUGGGAAACGAUGUGGGAAGGCCCAGACAGCCAGGAUGUUGGCUUAGAAGCAGCCAUCAUUUAAAGAAAGCGUAAUAGCUCACUGGUCGAGUCGGCCUGCGCGGAAGAUGUAACGGGGCUAAACCAUGCACCGAAGCUGCGGCAGCGACGCUUAUGCGUUGUUGGGUAGGGGAGCGUUCUGUAAGCCGUUGAAGGUGGCCUGUGAGGGUUGCUGGAGGUAUCAGAAGUGCGAAUGCUGACAUAAGUAACGAUAAUGCGGGUGAAAAACCCGCACGCCGGAAGACCAAGGGUUCCUGUCCAACGUUAAUCGGGGCAGGGUGAGUCGACCCCUAAGGCGAGGCCGAAAGGCGUAGUCGAUGGGAAACAGGUUAAUAUUCCUGUACUCGGUGUUACUGCGAAGGGGGGACGGAGAAGGCUAUGUUGGCCGGGCGACGGUUGUCCCGGUUUAAGCAUGUAGGCGGAUGUUCCAGGUAAAUCCGGAACGUUAUUAACGCUGAGGUGUGAUGACGAGGCACUACGGUGCUGAAGUGACAAAUGCCCUGCUUCCAGGAAAAGCCUCUAAGCAUCAGGUAACAUCAAAUCGUACCCCAAACCGACACAGGUGGUCAGGUAGAGAAUACCAAGGCGCUUGAGAGAACUCGGGUGAAGGAACUAGGCAAAAUGGUGCCGUAACUUCGGGAGAAGGCACGCUGAUGGUAGGUGAAGUGACUUGCUCAUGGAGCUGAAAUCAGUCGAAGAUACCAGCUGGCUGCAACUGUUUAUUAAAAACACAGCACUGUGCAAACACGAAAGUGGACGUAUACGGUGUGACGCCUGCCCGGUGCCGGAAGGUUAAUUGAUGGGGUUAUCCGUAAGGAGAAGCUCUUGAUCGAAGCCCCGGUAAACGGCGGCCGUAACUAUAACGGUCCUAAGGUAGCGAAAUUCCUUGUCGGGUAAGUUCCGACCUGCACGAAUGGCGUAAUGAUGGCCAGGCUGUCUCCACCCGAGACUCAGUGAAAUUGAACUCGCUGUGAAGAUGCAGUGUACCCGCGGCAAGACGGAAAGACCCCGUGAACCUUUACUAUAGCUUGACACUGAACACUGGUCCUUGAUGUGUAGGAUAGGUGGGAGGCUUUGAAGUGUGGACGCCAGUCUGCAUGGAGCCAUCCUUGAAAUACCACCCUUUAAUGG